rnacentral:misc_RNA from 1 species
AACGCACAUUGCGCCCGCCAGUAUCCUGGCGGGCAUGCCUGUUCGAGCGUCAUUUCAACCAUCAAGCCCCCGGCUUGUGUUGGGGACCUGCGGCUGCCCGCAGGCCCUGAAAACCAGUGGCGGGCUCGCUAGUCACACCGAGCGUAGUAGCAUACAUCUCGCUCAGGGCGUGCUGCGGGUUCCGGCCGUUAAACGACCUUCAUAACCCAAGGUUGACCUCGGAUCAGGUAGGAGGACCCGCUGAACUUAA